AAUUCAGUGAAUCAUCGAAUCUUUGAACGCACCUUGCACCCUUUGGUAUCCCCAAAGGGUAUGCUCGUUUGAGUGUCAUU
rnacentral:rRNA from 1 species